CUUCACCGACCCGAGCAGCAGCGGACGCUCCGGAUCGCGGUCACGCCCGUACGUGGCCAGCAGCGCCUGCGCCUC
rnacentral:antisense_RNA from 1 species